rnacentral:rRNA from 1 species
GAUGAACGCUGGCGGCGUGCCUAAUACAUGCAAGUCGAGCGAACAGACGAGGAGCUUGCUCCCCUGACGUUAGCGGCGGACGGGUGAGUAACACGUGGAUAACCUACCUAUAAGACUGGGAUAACUUCGGGAAACCGGAGCUAAUACCGGAUAAUAUAUUGAACCGCAUGGUUCAAUAGUGAAAGACGGUUUUGCUGUCACUUAUAGAUGGAUCCGCGCCGCAUUAGCUAGUUGGUAAGGUAACGGCUUACCAAGGCGACGAUGCGUAGCCGACCUGAGAGGGUGAUCGGCCACACUGGAACUGAGACACGUUCCAGACUCCUACGGGAGGCAGCAGUAGGGAAUCUUCCGCAAUGGGCGAAAGCCUGACGGAGCAACGCCGCGUGAGUGAUGAAGGUCUUCGGAUCGUAAAACUCUGUUAUUAGGGAAGAACAAAUGUGUAAGUAACUAUGCACGUCUUGACGGUACCUAAUCAGAAAGCCACGGCUAACUACGUG